GACGAACGCUGGCGGCGUGCUUAACACAUGCAAGUCGAACGGAAAGGCCCUGCUUUUGUUGGGUUCUCGAUUGGCGAACGCGUGAGUAACACGUGAGUAACCUGUCCUUGACUUUGGGAGAACUUCAGGAAACUGGGGCGAAUACCGGAUAUGAGCUCCUGCUGCAUGGGGGGGGUUGGAAAGUUUCGGCGGUUGGGGAUGUACUCGCGGCUUAUCAGCUUGUUGGCGGGGUAGUGGCGUACCAAGGCUUUGACGGGUAGCCUGCCUGAGAGGGGGAACGGCGACCAGGCGCCUAAGAUACGGCGCAGAAUGGAACGGGACGCAACAGGGGAAAACCUUGCAGAACGAGGGGAAGUCAGAUGCAGAGGUGUCGCGAGCGGGAUGAUCGCUUACGAGUUGUAAACAGAUUUGGAAUGUGCCGUAGACGGCGUGACGGUAAUGGGUAAAGAAGCACCGGCUAACUACGUG
rnacentral:rRNA from 1 species